UCGAACGGCAGCACGGAGAGCUUGCUCUCUGGUGGCGAGUGGCGAACGGGUGAGUAAUAUAUCGGAACGUGUCCAAUAAUGGGGGAUAACGAGUCGAAAGAUUCGCUAAUACCGCAUACGCCCUACGGGGGAAAGCAGGGGAUCGUAAGACCUUGCGUUAAUGGAGCGGCCGAUAUCUGAUUAGCUUGUUGGUGAGGUAAAGGCUCACCAAGGCGACGAUCAGUAGCUGGUUUGAGAGAACGACCAGCCACACUGGAACUGAGACACGGUCCAGACUCCUACGGGAGGCAGCAGUGGGGAAUUUUGGACAAUGGGGGCAACCCUGAUCCAGCCAUUCCGCGUGAGUGAAGAAGGCCUUCGGGUUGUAAAGCUCUUUCGCAAGGGAAGAAAACUUAUGAUCGAAUAAAUCAUGAGGUUGACGGUACCUUGAUAAGAAGCACCGGCUAACUACGUGCCAGCAGCCGCGGUAAUACGUAGGGUGCGAGCGUUAAUCGGAAUUACUGGGCGUAAAGCGUGCGCAGGCGGUUUUGUAAGUCGGAUGUGAAAUCCCCGGGCUCAACCUGGGAACUGCGUUCGAAACUGCAAGGCUAGAGUGUGUCAGAGGGGGGUAGAAUUCCACGUGUAGCAGUGAAAUGCGUAGAGAUGUGGAGGAAUACCAAUAGCGAAGGCAGCCCCCCUGGGAAUAACACUGACGCUCAU
rnacentral:rRNA from 1 species